rnacentral:rRNA from 1 species
AUUGAACGCUGGCGGCAGGCCUAACACAUGCAAGUCGAGCGGAUGAAGGGAGCUUGCUCCUGGAUUCAGCGGCGGACGGGUGAGUAAUGCCUAGGAAUCUGCCUGGUAGUGGGGGAUAACGUCCGGAAACGGGCGCUAAUACCGCAUACGUCCUGAGGGAGAAAGUGGGGGAUCUUCGGACCUCACGCUAUCAGAUGAGCCUAGGUCGGAUUAGCUAGUUGGUGGGGUAAAGGCCUACCAAGGCGACGAUCCGUAACUGGUCUGAGAGGAUGAUCAGUCACACUGGAACUGAGACACGGUCCAGACUCCUACGGGAGGCAGCAGUGGGGAAUAUUGGACAAAGGGCGAAAGCCUGAUCCAGCCAUGCCGCGUGUGUGAAGAAGGUCUUCGGAUUGUAAAGCACUUUAAGUUGGGAGGAAGGGCAGUAAGUUAAUACCUUGCUUUUUUGACGUUACCAACAGAAUAAGCACCGGCUAACUUCGUG